AUUUAUGUAAUACUAGAGCUAAAUUGAUUUAUAUACGAUGACACGAUUUUGUUUGAUUUAUAAAUAUUAAUUUUCUUAAAUAAAAUUUUUAAUUUUAAAAUCUGAAUCAUUCAAUCAUAAUCAGAUGGUCAUAAUCGCAUAACAUUUUAAGGUGUACACGUUCAAAUCCAAACCAAAUAUGUGUGUUUAUUUGAGAAAGAUGCAUCACCACAAACAAAUUUAAAUUCCUAUUUUUUCGGAAUUAAACUCUAACCAUGAAAAAAAAAAAAAAAAACUUUUCAUGCACACUCCUUUCCUUGAUUAUGAUGUUUUCUCUAUCCUUUACCACAACCAAGCAUGUUUAUGCAAUCAAAAUCUUGAAUUAAGAUACCUUUCAUAUCUUUGUCCACAUAAUAUUAUGCACCAAUUUUUUGUUACAAUACAUCUAAUCUAAAUCCUGCCACGUGGUCGUCUCAAG
rnacentral:lncRNA from 1 species